AGCGCACCCCUAUCCUUAUUUGCCAGCGCAUAAUGGCGGGAACUAUAAGGAGACUGCCGGUCAUAAACCGGAGGAAGGCGGGGACGACGUCAAGUCAUCAUGGCCCUUAUGGGUAGGGCUACACACGUGAUACAAUGGGUGGUACAGAGGGUCGCCAAAGCGCGAGCUGGAGCCAAACCCUUAAAACCAUUCUUAGUCCGGAUUGGAGUCUGCAACUCGACUCCAUGAAGUCGGAAUCGCUAGUAAUCGCGAAUCAGAAUGUCGCGGUGAAUACGUUCUCGGGCCUUGUACACACCGCCCGUCACGUUAUGGAAGUGGGUUGCACCAGAAGUGGCUUGUUUAACCUUCGGGAAAACGGUCACCACGGUGUGAUUCACAACUGGGACGAAGUCGUAACAAGGUAGCCCUAGGGGAACCUGGGGCUGGAUCA
rnacentral:rRNA from 1 species